rnacentral:rRNA from 1 species
GAUGAACGCUAGCGGCAGGCCUAAUACAUGCAAGUCGAGCGGAGCGAGGGUGCUUGCACCUUAGCUUAGCGGCGGACGAGUGAGUAAUGCUUAGGAAUCUGCCUAUUAGUGGGGGACAACAUUCCGAAAGGGAUGCUAAUACCGCAUACGCCCUACGGGGGAAAGCAGGGGAUCUUCGGACCUUGCGCUAAUAGAUGAGCCUAAGUCGGAUUAGCUAGUUGGUGGGGUAAAGGCCUACCAAGGCGACGAUCUGUAGCGGGUCUGAGAGGAUGAUCCGCCACACUGGGACUGAGACACGGCCCAGACUCCUACGGGAGGCAGCAGUGGGGAAUAUUGGACAAUGGGGGGAACCCUGAUCCAGCCAUGCCGCGUGUGUGAAGAAGGCCUUUUGGUUGUAAAGCACUUUAAGCGAGGAGGAGGCGCUCUAGGAUAAUACCCUAGAUGCGUGGACGUUACUCGCAGAAUAAGCACCGGCUAACUCUGUGCCAGCCGCCGCAGUAAUAC